AAAUUGAAGAGUUUGAUCAUGGCUCAGAUUGAACGCUGGCGGCAGGCCUAACACAUGCAAGUCGAACGGUAACAGGAAGAAGCUUGCUUCUUUGCUGACGAGUGGCGGACGGGUGAGUAAUGUCUGGGAAACUGCCUGAUGGAGGGGGAUAACUACUGGAAACGGUAGCUAAUACCGCAUAAUGUCGCAAGACCAAAGAGGGGGACCUUCGGGCCUCUUGCCAUCGGAUGUGCCCAGAUGGGAUUAGCUAGUAGGUGGGGUAACGGCUCACCUAGGCGACGAUCCCUAGCUGGUCUGAGAGGAUGACCAGCCACACUGGAACUGAGACACGGUCCAGACUCCUACGGGAGGCAGCAGUGGGGAAUAUUGCACAAUGGGCGCAAGCCUGAUGCAGCCAUGCCGCGUGUAUGAAGAAGGCCUUCGGGUUGUAAAGUACUUUCAGCGGGGAGGAAGGGAGUAAAGUUAAUACCUUUGCUCAUUGACGUUACCC
rnacentral:rRNA from 1 species